ACUGUAGAAUCUCAACCUACUAGAAGAGUCUAAGUUUGAAGAAAAAAAUUCAUACUAUUGAUACUAUAUUUCUCUUAUUGAUGGCGGAUGAUUAUUCCCAUUUCUAUAUUAUUAUGACUCAAAAUAGAUUCGAAGAAGUUGCUUUAAAUUGCUUGUUUUCCAUUGACAAUGUCGAGCUUAUGCCAUACUAUGAUUUUUGCUUUACUCAAACCUUGAGGACAAGUUACAUUUUUU
rnacentral:lncRNA from 1 species